AUACAGCUGACGAAUCCUAAAUAGGACGAAACGCACGUCCUAGAU
rfam:Schistosoma rodhaini strain Burundi genome assembly, scaffold: SROB_scaffold0002434